GAAGGAGUAAUAGGGAGAGUGAUAGAUCAGCUGAUAAAGGUGUGAUCAGAUUAUUAGAAUUAAGAAGUGGGGAGAGGAUAGGACAAUACAGUGGCGGCACUUUCAUUGACUGCACCGUUACCGUUAAGUGACGGCAACCCCACUUUGGUGGUGGGAGGGACGUUUUUAUCUGGUGCAGGGCUCUUCUAUGGUGGUCUGGUUUUAAACGGCACUCCCCUACCUCUCUGUUUUUCUCCCACACACAAAACACCCAACUCCACUGCUCUGUUUGUUUGGUUUGACGGAAACCACACAGAGAGGAAAAAAGGCGAUGGUGAAGAUGAGGAUUAUUACGCCCUCUGCACAUCCCUCCUCUUGGGGAUUCCAACUAGCUUCUCCCAAAAGCCGUACAGUGUUGGUUCUCCUAUGCUAUGAGAGGGAAAGCUGCCAAGAGUGGAUCCAUAGGUGAUCAAAAUGUUGUGGUUGCAGGAGGGAACAAGUAGUGAGCAGCUCCAUCACAUGAUCCUGAAGAGAAAAAGUUGGGUGAAAAGUGAUUUGACAUGUUGAGACAAAGCACCAUCCGACAUAUGUAUGCGUUAUCUUAUUUUAUUCCUGAACCAUGAUAUGUCUCUCAGCAGGCGUGCCCACAACCUAUUUGAGCCAACGGCAUUAGCCGCUUUGAAACGUUAUCUGAAGGGACUGUUGGAUGAUAUUUAGACUGAAAAGAGCUAUAUAAGCAUUUCGCUUUUUCA